UACGGAGGUCUCAAGCGUUGUUCGGAUUCAUUGGGCGUAAAGGGUGCGUAGGUGGCGGGGUAAGUCAGGUGUGAAAUUUCGGAGCUUAACUCCGAAACUGCAUUUGAUACUGCCUUGCUUGAGGACUGGAGAGGAGACUGGAAUUUACGGUGUAGCAGUGAAAUGCGUAGAUAUUCGGAGGAACACCAGUGGCGAAGGCGGCUCACUGGUCCAUUACUGACGCUGAGGUGCGAAAGCGUGGGGAGCAAACAGG
rnacentral:rRNA from 1 species